GGUGGAAUCAGGGAGCCCCUCGUGCGGCGGUUGCACGGGGAGGGCGGCGGCGGCCGGCGCGGGGCGAGGGGUCCCGGUGCGCCCCCGCCCAUCCCGCAGGCGAGACUGAGGGAGGCGGUGCCGCUGCCCCUGCCUCUGCCCGGGCGCGCACAGGUGCGUCGGCAGCGGCGGGAGCGCAGCGCCCUCCUCCCGGCGGCACCCGGCGGGGGAUGUGCCGGCCGCCGGGGGCGCGCCGCCCGUGGGAAGCGCGCUCCUAACGCCACCUGGGCGCCGCGGGGAGCGCCCGGCUCAGCUCAGCUCGGCGCGGCGCGGGCGGCGCAGGGUCACCAGGAACCGGGCAGAUCUUGACGGUUAUGGCCGAAUCUUUCAUCAGCCUAUGGUAUAAUGGGCUACCCAUUGGAUGAUUUACAGUCAUCUGAAACAUAAUACAUACUCCUCUUCCUUGUCCAUGCCUACAUGCUGACACACUAUCAGUUCUGUUUCCAAAAGAGGAGUUCACAGAACUGCACAGUGCCUGAUGCAACUAGCCGCUUUGAUGUUCCUCACUGGACCAUGCCCUGAGGCUAGAAGAGUUGGCUCAAAGCAGAAGCACGUACUGGUGAGCACAAUUAUUCCCA